rnacentral:rRNA from 1 species
GUGAGGAAUUUUCCGCAAUGGGCGAAAGCCUGACGGAGCAAUGCCGCGUGAAGGAUGAAGGCCUAUGGGUUGUAAACUUCUUUUCUUAGAGAAGAAUAUUGACGGUAUCUGAGGAAUAAGCAUCGGCUAACUCCGUGCCAGCAGCCGCGGUAAUACGGAGGGUGCGAGCGUUGUCCGGAUUUAUUGGGUUUAAUGGGUGCGUAGGCUGGAAGGUCAGUCAGCGGUGAAAAGCUGUCGCUUAACGAUAGUCUUGCCGCAGAUACUUCCUUUCUUGGAUGAGGAGGAGGCCACUGGAACGGAUGGUGUAGCGGUGAAAUGCAUAGAUAUCAUCCAGAACACCGAUUGCGAAGGCAGGUGGCUGUACCUUAAUCGACGCUGAUGCACGAAAGCAUGGGGAGCAAACAGGAUUAGAUACCCGGGUAGUCC